GCAAGACUGAGCAGACAAAAUGGGGAGCAGACUAAUGUUGAUACAAUCAUCUCUCUCCAUACACACAUACAGAGCUAUGGCGGGGGCAGUUUUUGCUUCUAAACCACUCUCUAUAUGUAGAGUGCAGCAGAAGCAGCAACGCCGCGGCGUUUCCGGUGCUAGGUCUAGUCUGGACCCUCCGGACCUCACUCGUUUGGCCCAAACCGCUCGCAUCUCACUCACUCCUGCCGAGGUUGAAGAAUUUUCUCCUAAAAUUCAGCAAGUUGUGGAUUGGUUUGGACAACUUCAAAAUGUAGAUCUUCAGAGCAUUGAACCAGCUAUUAGGGCAGAUACUGAAGAAAGCAACUGGCGUGAUGAUUUGCCUGAAACAUUUGAGAACAGGGAGGCCAUAGUAGCUGCUGUUCCAAAUUACGAGGAUUCAUACAUAAAAGUUCCAAAAGUCUUGAACAAAGAGUAGACAAAUUACAUGGAAUGAACUGUGGUAGUAGGAAUGAAAUGAAAAUUGUAGUGUUGGUAGCUUCAGAAACAGUAAAUGCAAUGACAAAUUGAGAACCAAGAAAGUGAAGCGUUGGCAAUUGCAGUCAGAUAUUCUCGGAGGCACGCAUGGCAAGUAUAAUUGUUGAUUGUAUCCAGAUCUGAUAUUUGAAAAUGCAAAUAAAUAUUCUUGGAUAUACAAUAGUUCGAACCAAAUUAUUUAUAUGUUGAUGAUCUUCCAGGCACAUUUAGCUUUUCUUUGUAACAGCACAUAAAAUAAUACAAGAUCUGUAUCUGCUUAUAUAUGACAAAGUAGGUUAACUAUUUGAGCA